AGGGAGAUAGACAGGAGGAAGGUAGGGAAGUCCC
rnacentral:piRNA from 1 species